CAGAGUGGCACCGCAGAGUUGAGCCGGUGGGCGCGGUCUAGCAGACCGAUGGGCGGUGCUGAAGCGAGGAUGGCGUGGUUUAGACAGCCCCAGCUGAGGCAGAUCCCCUUUUUGUCUCAGAACCUCUUUCUGUGUCUUCCUUCUGACGAAUGAGGUCAUUUCACCCUCCACUGCCAGGCAGUCAUCCGAGGAGCUGGAAAGAGAGCAGAAGCUUAACCUUUAACAGCCCGCAGCUUGGCAGCACCAGUUCCGAGCCAGAGAGGACAGUUUAACAAGCUGUCAUAAAGCCAGUGAGGAUCUCAGAUGGCCCAGUUAGAUCGCCAUGGUUGGAAUUUGAUCAGAGAUUGAAGUUCUCAAGUGUAUGCAAAUCUUUGCAUUGAUUAUCUGGGCAUAUCAAACUCAACUUUGUGGAAAUAACUUCCUACUUACGAUCUUCCUGCUUCCUGAAAAUCUUUUUAGAAUGGCCAGUUUUGUAUUUAUAGAACCCAAGGCCUUGCUUAUGCUAGGCAAGUGUUCUACUGCUAAGCUGUGCCCUACGCCCUCAUAGGGGGAUUCUGGCUGGGUAGGUACUCAACCACAAAGCUAUGACUUGAGCAAGAAUGGUCAGUUUUAAAUCUGUCCAGACAUCAAGCCUAAGGCUUCCAGUCCCAGCUCU
ensembl:sense_intronic Dmrt1i Dmrt1 interacting ncRNA